rnacentral:rRNA from 1 species
GACGAACGCUGGCGGCGUGCUUAACACAUGCAAGUCGAACGAUGAAGAAGAGAAACGCGAACUUCGGUUCAAAUUUCACUUCGGAUUAGUGGCAGACGGGUGAGUAACGCGUGAGCAACCUACCUCUUACAAAGGGAUAGCCUCGGGAAACCGUGAUUAAUACCAUAUGACACAUUCAUAAGGCAUCUUAAGAAUGUUAAAGCUACGGCGGUAAGAGAUGGGCUCGCGUCCCAUUAGCUAGUUGGUGAGGUAACGGCCCACCAAGGCGACGAUGGGUAACCGGCCUGAGAGGGUGAACGGUCACAUUGGAACUGAGACACGGUCCAAACUCCUACGGGAGGCAGCAGUGGGGAAUAUUGCACAAUGGAGGGAACUCUGAUGCAGCGACGCCGCGUGAGCGAUGAAGGAAUUCGUUUCGUAAAGCUCUGUUCUAUGGGAAGAAAAGGACUGUACCAUAGGAGAAAGCCCCGGCUAAAUAC